AUACAGAGGGUGCGAGCGUUAAUCGGAAUUACUGGGCGUAAAGCGCGCGUAGGCGGUUAUUUAAGUCAGAUGUGAAAUCCCUGGGCUCAACCUAGGAACUGCAUCUGAAACUGGGUAACUAGAGUUUAGGAGAGGGGAGUAGAAUUUCGGGUGUAGCGGUGAAAUGCAUAGAGAUCCGAAGGAAUACCAGUGGCGAAGGCGGCUCCCUGGCCUAGAACUGACGCUGAGGUGCGAAAGCGUGGGUAGCAAACGGGAUUAGAAACCCCAGUAGUCC
rnacentral:rRNA from 1 species